UUAUCGGAGAGUUUGAUCCUGGCUCAGGACGAACGCUGGCGGCGUGCCUAAUACAUGCAAGUCGAGCGGACAGAUGGGAGCUUGCUCCCUGAUGUUAGCGGCGGACGGGUGAGUAACACGUGGGUAACCUGCCUGUAAGACUGGGAUAACUCCGGGAAACCGGGGCUAAUACCGGAUGGUUGUUUGAACCGCAUGGUUCAGACAUAAAAGGUGGCUUCGGCUACCACUUACAGAUGGACCCGCGGCGCAUUAGCUAGUUGGUGAGGUAACGGCUCACCAAGGCGACGAUGCGUAG
rnacentral:rRNA from 1 species